GCGGGUGUAGCUUAAUGGUAAAGCCUCAGCCUUCCAAGCUGAUUACGUGGGUUCGAUUCCCAUCACCCGCUCCA
rnacentral:tRNA from 1 species